CCUGAUCCAGCCAUGCCGCGUGAGUGAAGAAGGCCUUCGGGUUGUAAAGCUCUUUCGGCGGGGAAGAAAUUGCACGGGUUAAUACCCUGUGUAGAUGACGGUACCCGAAUAAGAAGCACCGGCUAACUACGUGCCAGCAGCCGCGGUAAUACGUAGGGUGCGAGCGUUAAUCGGAAUUACUGGGCGUAAAGCGUGCGCAGGCGGUUUGGUAAGUCAGAUGUGAAAUCCCCGGGGCUCAACCUGGGGAACUGCAUUUGAGACUGCCAGGCUGGAGUUUGGCAGAGGGGGGUGGAAUUCCACGUGUAGCAGUGAAAUGCGUAGAGAUGUGGAGGAACACCGAUGGCGAAGGCAGCCCCCUGGGCCAAUACUGACGCUCAUGCACGAAAGCGUGGGGAGCAAACAGGAUUAGAUACCCUGGUAGUCCACGCCCUAAACGAUGUCAACUAGGUGUUGGGAGGGUUAAACCUUUUAGUGCCGUAGCUAACGCGUGAAGUUGACCGCCUGGGGAGUACGGCCGCAAGGCUAAAACUCAAAGGAAUUGACGGGGAC
rnacentral:rRNA from 1 species